rnacentral:rRNA from 1 species
CCUACGGGGGGCAGCAGUGGGGAAUAUUGGGCAAUGGGCGCAAGCCUGACCCAGCAACGCCGCGUGAAGGAAGAAGGCUUUCGGGUUGGAAACUUCUUUUAAGAGGGAAGAGCAGAAGACGGUACCUCUUGAAUAAGCCACGGCUAACGACGUGCCAGCAGCCGCGGUAAUACGUAGGUGGCAAGCGUUGUCCGGAUUUACUGGGUGUAAAGGGCGUGCAGCCGGGAAGACAAGUCAGAUGUGAAAUCCCGCGGCUCAACCGCGGAACUGCAUUUGAAACUGUGUUUCUUGAGUACAGGAGAGGUAAGCGGAAUUCCUAGUGUAGCGGUGAAAUGCGUAGAUAUUAGGAGGAACACCAGUGGCGAAGGCGGCUUACUGGACUGUAACUGACGUUGAGGCUCGAAAGCGUGGGGAGCAAACAGGAUUAGAUACCCCAGUAGUC